GGGGAUACACUUAGAGUCCCCUGGAUAGCGUGUGUUAAUAGCAACGUCCUGUGGCCGGGAUUUGCGGUUAGUGAAUC
ncrna:unclassified sequences L13-Bacteroidia ribosomal protein leader